ACCAGGGAGGUGGAGGUUGCAGUGAACUGAGAUGGUGCCGUUGCACUCCAGCCUGGGCGACAGAGCAAGACUCCGUCUCCAAAAAAAAAAAAAGAAAAUUCUGGCCACCCUGGGCUACAUCCUAAGCUCCUGCCACAUGGUGGCCCCGUAGCCUAUGACUUCUUGUUUAAUCAUCACACCAUCCCCAUAGCAAAUUAGAUGUUCCCAUUUUACAGGUGAGUAAACUGAGUCUAAGAAAGAAUAAGGGACUUGGAGCCCUGUAGUGGGCAGAGCCAGGUCUGGAAGCCGGCCAGUCGGCGCCAGUUUUUAUGGGUGUCCUCCCAGUCCCUGCCUAUGAUCCCUCACACCCUCAGCCUCUCUCCUUCACCUUCUUGUUCUUGGAGAAUGGCUCAUUUGGUAACCAUGGGGUUGUCAUUUAUGGAGUGACUAAGUGGUGACACAGGAGGCCCGUGCUGUUGAAAGAGGAAUUUAUCACCGAUGCUUGCUGUGGGAGAAGGGGCUCGUCACACCACACGGGGGGAACACGGAUUGGGCAGGAGCGGGAGUAAGGCCAGGCUGAGGCCAUGGCCUUUAUUGGAGUUUCCAGGCACAGUGGGGCAGGGCACACCUGGGGAUUGGCUAGCUCAUUCCAGGGGACUUCAGGCUACAGGAGUGGUCUCUGGUCACCUGGCACCUGUGGUUUGUGUCCCCUCCAAAAUUCAGUAUUAAGAGAUGUGGCCAUUAAGAGGCGUGCUUGGGGCUGGACCAGUGGCUCACACCUGUAAUCCCAGCGCUUUGAGAAGCCAAGGCAGGAGGAGCGCUUGAGCCCAGGAGGUCAAGGCUGCAGUGGGCUAUGAUCAUGCCACUGCACUCCAGCCUGGGAGACAGAGCAAAACACUACCUGAAAAAAGAGAUGUGGUUAGGCCAUGAGGGCUCCUUGUGAAUGGGAUCUGGGCAGGGGGAGGCUGGCUGGUUCACUUGCUCUUUUGUCAUGUGAGGAUGCAGGAGGAAGGCCCUCACCAGACACCAGGUGCCAGCGCCUUGAUCUUGGACUUCCCAGCCUGUGGAACUAUGAGAAAAUGAAAUACUGCUCUCUGUACAUCACCCAGGCUGGGGUCUUCUGUUGCAGCCACACGGAUGGCCUGAGAUGCAAGACCCUGCCUCUAAAAUAUAAAUAAAACAAAAGGCUGUAUAGUGCAUGAUUCUUUCCUAUGAAAAUUCCGGAACAGGCAAAUCCACAGAGACAGGACAUGGAUUAGUGGUUCUGGGGGCUGGGGAGGGAUGGAGAGAACGCUGAAGUGGAUGGGUUUCUUUUUGGGGUGGUGGAAACGUUCUGAAAUUAGGUAGAAGGGAUGUUUGCACAGCCUUGUAAAUGUGCUAGAUUCCACCGAACGGUGCACUUUAAAGCGGGGAUGUUACAGUGUGGACUUAUCUCAAUCUUUAAAAAAUAUUAUCUAUCGAUGACACCCAGUUUCUGACUCCGGCUCAGGCCUCUCCCUGGAGAGUCUUGUCCCCUGCAUACAGCGGCCCGUGCAGCACGCUCUGUGGAUGUCUGACUGGCAUUUCAAAGAUGGAUCAUAUCCAAGUCCAAACACCUGCGCGCUUCUCCAAAACCCCUUCAUCCUGCUGACUUCCCCACGGCAGGCAGGGCUGCCUGCAGUCCUUCGUGCGGAUCCCAAACUGGGGAGCCAGCCCGGUCUCCUCUCCUCCUUCUGACCUUGAGCGCAGGCGCCUGCACGCGCACCGCCUCUACCGCGCGCCAGCCUGCCUCCUCUGUAUUUUGGACCUGCACGAUUCCUUCUGCUCUCGCCCCCAUUUCCGUCCGCGCACAGCGCCAAAGAGGCCCCAUCACAACGUAGCCUGUGCCCCUCCUCCGCUGGAAACCCCCGUGGGGUCUCAGGACAAGCCGGAGCCCCUGCGAUGGCCUGUGACAUCCAUCACGGUGUCCCCUGUCCCACCCUCUAUUCUCUGCCCUGCGAUGGCCUGUGACGUCCAUCAUGGUGUCCUCUACCCCCUGUUCCACCCCCUUUAUUCUGUGACCCCAUCUCCCUUCAUUCCUUCCGCUCUAGUCGCACUGCCUUCUGGACCAUUCCAGAUUCUGGGCGUUCCACCCUCAGGCCCUUCCCAUGCAGUUCCCUCUGCUCAAAUGCGCUUCCCUGUUUCCCCAGCUUUGUGUCUUCACCCUCCUCCUCACCCACCAGGCUGGCCAUGACCAGCCCGUGAGAAAGUGCAAUCCCCGGCUCUCACCGCCUGCCCUGUUCUUCCCAACGGCAUGAGAACCAUCAGAUCGCAUUGAGUUAUUUUGCUUACCCCGUGUCUCCGUGGACUAUCGCGCAGCGCCCUCCUGGAGGACAGGACGUUGGUUAUUCCCCGAUGCUGUGACAGCGCCCGUGACAGCAGCCGGCCCCCAGAAGCACCCAGGAAGUAUUUAUCCAGUGACUCAAUGAAUUUGCCCCCGGAUCGCCCAGGGCUGCUUUCACUUUCUGUUGAGGGUCUGGCACCCACAAAUCCCCUUCCUGCCUCUGUGGAUUGGCCUCUCCUGGACAUUCUAUAGAAAUGGAAUCACAUACUGUGUCCGGCUUCUCUCACAGAGUGUGAUGUGCUCAAGGUUCAUCCAUGCAGCGUGUGCUGGAGUGUCUUUUUUUUUUUCUUUUGAUGGCAAAAUAUAUAUAACCUAAAAUUUUCCAUUUAACCUUAACAAAUGCCUUUUGAUCCACCCGUAACAGCAGGGAUUCUCAACCCGGGGUCUGGGAAACGUAAGGUAACUACAGGCACAUCUGUGUCUGUCAUUUUCAGGGGAUCAAGGCAGGGCGGGAGGCCACAGCUUUCAUCUGACUCUAAAUUGUGGGAAGGCAAGAGGGGAUCAGCGUGACCACCCACACUGGGAACCUGGGGAGGGCUGUGGGCCUUGCCCUGUCACACCUGAGACCUGGCAGAAGCAGCAGUGUUGGCUGCCGACCAUCUGCAGAGCUAGGUUCUAAUCCCUAGUCCCUAGCCCCAGGGACCCUAGCCUGUCCUUCCCAGAUCUGAGCUUCUCAACAGCCACAGUUUUUAAGAGACGGGGUCUCACUGUAUUGCCCAGGCUGGUCUCCAACUACUGGGCUCAAGUGAGCCUCCCAAAGUGCUGGGAUUACAGGUGCGAGCCACUGCUCUGGCCAACAGCAGCACUUUUGACGUUUGGGGCUGGAUUAUUCUCUGCAGUGGAGUCAUUCUUGGCACUGCAGGGUGCUUAGCAGCGUCCCUGGCCUCCACCCACUCCAUGCCAGGAGCUACCCUAAAUGGUGACAACCACGAAUGUCCUCAGACAUCACCCAGUGUCUCCUGGGGGCAAAAUCUGCCCUCUUUGAGAACCACUGCCGUGGGCUGCCUGGGUUUUGGUGUCUGUAUGAGUUAUGCUGUGGGGUGUUCUUCCCAGGAGCUGUGUUUUUGCUGGCUCUGCUCCUGAAACCACAGUGUGGCAGAUUGUUGCCAAAAUGCCCUCAUCCUUCAUCCCCCCUUAUAUCCAUGCCCUUCCCACCAUGUCCUUGCUACUCUACCAGUCCAGAAGUGGAGACCGCUCCCCUGGCCCUUGCAUCUGGGCUUCCUUGCCCUGCCUUGGACAGGCUGCAGUGGAAGUGACGCUGUGACUGCCCUGAGCCCAAGCUUAAGAGACCUUGCCUGCAUCUGCUCCAUCUUGUGGGACCCUGCAUGGUGAAGGACCCAAGGCUGGCCUGCCGGAGGAGAUACAAGGAGAAGAAGAACCACAGUGCCCCAUCCAACAGGUAGCUGCCCUCCAGGGGCAGAGAAGCCCAGCCAUGGUCAGGAGAGCCGUCCAGCUGAGGCCCACCUUCACCAGGAUUGCCGCCCAGCUGGCCAGGAGAGCCACCCAACUGAGCCCCACCUCCACCAGGAUUGCCGCCCAGCUGGCCAGGAGAGCCACCCAACUGAGCCCCACCUCCACCAGGAUUGCCGCCCAGCUGGCCAGGAGAGCCACCCAACUGAGCCCCACCUCUACCAGGAUUGCCACCCAACUGAGCCCCACCUCCACCAGGAUUGCCACCCAGUUGAACCCCACCUCAGCCAGGAGAGCCACCCAGCUGAGCCCCACCUCAGCCAGGAGAGUCACCCAGCUGAGCUGUGCCUGGCUAGAAGAGCCACCCAGCUGAGCCGUGCCUGGCCAGGAGAGCUGCCCAGCUGAGCCCCGCCUGCAGAAUCACAAGUGACAUAAAUGAUUGUUGCUUUGAGCGAGAGGUCAGCGGACCUUUUCUGUAAAGGGCCACAUAGUAAAUAUCUUCGGCUUUGUGAGCCACACCAUGUCUGUCACGUUAGUGAACCCUGCCAUUGUAGCAAGAUGAGCCAUGGAAAAUGCGUCAUCCGAUGGGCUUGGCUGUGUGCCAAUAAAACUUUUAUUUUUUUGGACACUGAAA